UGGGGAAUAUUGGGCAAUGGGCGAAAGCCUGACCCAGCAACGCCGCGUGAAGGAAGAAGGUCUUCGGAUUGUAAACUUCUUUUAUGAGGGACGAAGGACGUGACGGUACCUCAUGAAUAAGCCACGGCUAACUACGUGCCAGCAGCCGCGGUAAUACGUAGGGGGCGAGCGUUGUCCGGAAUUACUGGGCGUAAAGGGUGCGUAGGCGGUACUUUAAGUUGGAUGUGAAAUCCCCGGGCUUAACCUGGGGCCUGCAUCCAAUACUGGAGAACUAGAGUGCAGGAGAGGGAAGCGGAAUUCCUAGUGUAGCGGUGAAAUGCGUAGAUAUUAGGAAGAACACCAGUGGCGAAGGCGGCUUUCUGGACUGUAACUGACGCUGAGGCACGAAAGCGUGGGGAGCAAACAGGAUUAGAUACCCUGGUAGU
rnacentral:rRNA from 1 species